AAAAAUAAACAACUAAAAGGAAAUAACAAUAAAUAAACUAUCUAAACACAGCAAAGAAAAAGUGAUAAAGGAAAAAUGAGAAAAGAAAUAAAGAAGAGACGAUAGAGUCUCCUCCCACACUUAAAUCGAACAUUGUCCCUAAUGUUUCGGAAUAAGAUAAGGGAAGAGUUACCUGACAACCUAUUGCUGACCACUAGUGCCCUCGCCAUCCUGAGGUGGACGACGGGAUCGGGUACGACGACGAUCUCUCUGAACCAUCCUCGCCUGCAGGGCAUCCUGAGC
rnacentral:lncRNA from 1 species